CUUCCCUUCGCCUCUCUAUUAAUGUGCUUGGACACAGAGCUCUGUGAUCAGCCAGCCUCUUUUGCAAUGACCUUUUGUGUCUUGCCCUCCUUGUGCAAGGUGUCAAUGGUCGUCUUUUGGACAACUGUCAAGUCAGCAGUCUUCCCCAUGAUUGUGUAGCCUUCAGAACUAGACUGAGAGACCAUUUAAAGGGGGGGUGAAAUGCUCAUUUUCACUCAAUCUCCUGUUAAUCUUGAGUACCUAAAGAGUAGUACUGCAUCCUUCGUAUCUCCAAAAAGUCUUUAGUUUUAUUAUAUUUAUAAGAGAAAAAUAGUCUGUGCCGAUUUUUUUCGGAAAAACAAGAGCGUCUGGAGGCGUGACGUGUGGGCGGAGCUAAAGAAUCACGAGCGCGAGUAGGCUUUUGCGUUGAGAGCGUUUGGAAGUUGUGACAUUACCGUGAGGAAAAAAAAACCAUCAUCCAAAACAAACCAUGGCUAACAGUCAGAUUCAGCCGUUUAUUUAUGAUCCAGAAUCAGAUCACGAGGCUGAAACUGAACGAGAGCAGCAGCAGCAAUGACUACAGCAGGACGUCUCUAUGUGGUAUGUAUUGAAACUGUAUAUAUUUGCUUAGCGGUUUUGGAAAAUGACUAAGUUCCACUUUGUCGUCUUUUUUUUUUCUUUAAAGGUGUACAAGGUUUACUUGAUGUGCUUACGCGCCGAUAGCUAAGUUAACAACACAGAGAUAUUUGAAGCAGUUUUACUCACCGCCUGUGGUUCCAACACACGGUCAUGACCCUUUUUCGUUGGGAUUGCAUCAUCCUUAAGAAAUAAACGAUAUGCAAAUCUGGCGUCAAACUGGGCCUUGUUUGUAAAACAAGCAUCUUCGAAUUGCAGGGAACAAACAAAAACACUUGCUCAACUCCGUCGAUGCUCUGUAAAAAUAAACUCCGUCCACUGGUCCCUUAAUGUUUUUUUUUUUUUUUGGUAAUCUGUGCAGGGUUGUCUUGCCCUCGCAACCAAAAACACACUUCUUUUGUGACAUUUCGCGACACUCUCGCUCUGAUCAGUGAAUGUCUCUGCUCCGCUCUGCUCUACGGGAGCGCAUGCUCUUCCGGCAGAAGUGCCCUUAGGACCCAUAUAAGGAAAUUCCGCUCCAUCUAACGUCACACAGACCCAUACUUGAAAAAAACUUUCCGAAACUUGUGACAAACCGGAAGGAGUAUUUUUGGAACAAAAAUACUCCUUCAAACGUACAACUUAAUUUUUGAAACUUUGUCCAUGUUUAGCAUGGGAAUCCAACUCUUUAACAGUGUAAAAAACUCAGUAUGCAUGAAAUAGCAUUUCACCCCCCCUUUAA